rnacentral:misc_RNA from 1 species
GAUGAAGAACGCAGCGAAAUGCGAUAAGUAGUGUGAAUUGCAGAAUUCAGUGAAUCAUCGAAUCUUUGAACGCACAUUGCGCCCCUUGGUAUUCCAUGGGGCAUGCCUGUUCGAGCGUCAUUUGUACCUUCAAGCUCUGCUUGGUGUUGGGUGUUUGUCUCGCCUCUGCGUGUAGACUCGCCUCAAAACAAUUGGCAGCCGGCGUAUUGAUUUCGGAGCGCAGUACAUCUCGCGCUUUGCACUCAUAACGACGACGUCCAAAAGUACAUUUUUACACUCUUGACCUCGGAUCAGGUAGGGAUACCCGCUGAACUUAAUCAUAUCAAUAAGCGGAGGA